GCGUUUUGCUUUGAUUUUAGAAGAAAUCGCCCAAUUAGAAUGUAUAAAUGCCUAGUGGGCCAAUUUUGGUAAGCAGAACUGGCGAUGUGGAAUGAACCAAAAGUCAGGUUAAGGUGCCAGACAUUGGCGCUCAUGAAAUACCAGAAAAGGUGUUGGUCGAUAUAGACAGCAGGACGGUGGCCAUGGAAGUUGGAAUCCGCCAAGGAGUGUGUAACAACUCACCUGCCGAAUCGACUAGCCCUGAAAAUGGAUAGCGUUUGAGCUCCAGGCCCAUACCUGACCGUCUCAAUUACGCACUUUUUUUUCGGAAAAGGUGUAAUGAACGUUGAGACGGGUAGGAAGGUCGCGACAGUGUUGCUUUGAAGAGUUUUGAGCGUGAGCUCGCUCGGAGCCGCUGUUGGUGCAGAUCUUGGUGGUAGUAGCAAAUAUUCAAGUGAGAACCUUGAAGGCUGAAGUGGAGCAAGGGUUCCAUGUGAACAGCAGUUGGACAUGGGUCAGUCGAUCCUAAAAAAACGGCGAAAGCUUGUUCCGAAAUUUGCGACAUGAAUUGUAAGACUGAAUAAUUAUUUGUGUGUGUGUUGUGGUGGAGGCGAUUGUGUCGUCCCCCAGUUGUUGUUGUGUGCAGUUGUCGUAUGUUUUUCAAAAGGGAAUCCGGUUGAUAUUCCGGAAACCGAGUAACGGAGACAAAAAAGUAACGCUUUAAUCUCUCUGUGGGGUUAGGCGUUUCACUUCAUCGCGCGGUAACGCAAGCGAACUUCUGAAAAUUGACCGUCGUGAGUUUCAAAAAAGAAGUUUUCUUCUUUCUUUUUUAAAUGGGACGCCAU
rnacentral:ncRNA from 1 species